rnacentral:lncRNA from 1 species
CGAAACAGAACCCUUACCCCAUAUUUGAACAUGGACCAUCUUUUUGAUUUAAUGUGCUUAUUUCAAAUCUCAUGUUGUCACGUCUUCCUUCUAGUUCAUUUUUGCAGCUAGCUAUCUACAUCACAAGUUUAGCUGCAGUUGAAGUGCUAUGAGCUUGUGAUGGAGGUCAAGUAAUAAUUGAUUCUGUGGAUGUCAUGUGUGGUCUAAGCUUAGGGGAAUACAUUGCUUUUGCAUUUGCUGGAGCUUUUAGGUGAGCUGCUCAGUUUACAAAUGUUUUU